AAUAGAUACCCAGGUAGUCCACGCCGUAAACGAUGAGUGCUAAGUGUUAGAGGGUUUCCGCCCUUUAGUGCUGAAGUUAACGCAUUAAGCACUCCGCCUGGGGAGUACGGCCGCAAGGCUGAAACUCAAAGGAAUUGACGGGGGCCCGCACAAGCGGUGGAGCAUGUGGUUUAAUUCGAAGCAACGCGAAGAACCUUACCAGGUCUUGACAUCCUCUGACAACCCUAGAGAUAGGGCUUCUCCUUCGGGAGCAGAGUGACAGGUGGUGCAUGGUUGUCGUCAGCUCGUGUCGUGAGAUGUUGGGUUAAGUCCCGCAACGAGCGCAACCCUUGAUCUUAGUUGCCAUCAUUUAGUUGGGCACUCUAAGGUGACUGCCGGUGACAAACCGGAGGAAGGUGGGGAUGACGUCAAAUCAUCAUGCCCCUUAUGACCUGGGCUACACACGUGCUACAAUGGACGGUACAAAGAGCUGCAAGACCGCGAGGUGGAGCUAAUCUCAUAAAACCGUUCUCAGUUCGGA
rnacentral:rRNA from 1 species